GCCGAGGUGGCGGAAUCGGCAGACGCUCUGGACUUAAAAUCCAGUGGGGGUAACCUCGUACGGGUUCAAGUCCCGUCCUCGGCACCA
rnacentral:tRNA from 1 species